rnacentral:rRNA from 1 species
UACGUAGGGGGCAAGCGUUGUCCGGAUUUAUUGGGCGUAAAGAGCGUGUAGGCGGCCAGACAGGUCCGUUGUGAAAACUCGAGGCUCAACCUCGAGAUGUCGAUGGAAACCGUCUGGCUAGAGUCCGGAAGAGGAGUGUGGAAUUCCUGGUGUAGCGGUGAAAUGCGCAGAUAUCAGGAAGAACACCUAUGGCGAAGGCAGCCCUCUGGGACGGUACUGACGCUGAGACGCGAAAGCGUGGGGAGCGAACAGG